rnacentral:tRNA from 1 species
GGCUCGGUAGCUUAGUUCCUAGAAAAGCACUUGUCUAGCGAAUGAGGGCUGUGAGUUCAAAUCUCACCUGAGCUG